rnacentral:rRNA from 1 species
CGCCUGUUUAUCAAAAACAUGUCCUAUUGAUUAUUAUUUUAGGUCUGGCCUGCCCAAUGAUUUUUAAUGGCCGCAGUAUUUUGACUGUGCUAAGGUAGCAUAAUCAUUAGUUUUUUAAUUGAAAGCUUGUAUGAAGGGUUGGAUGAGAAAACUACUUUCUUUUUAGUAUUUUUGUUGAAUUUUACUUUUAGGUCAAAAGGCUUAAAUUUUUUUGGGGGACGAGAAGACCCUAUAGAAUUUUAUUGAUUAGGUUUAUUGUUAAUUUUAGAAAUUAUUUGUUUUGACUGUUCAAUUUGAUUGGGGUGAUCGAAAAAUUUAAUUAACUUUUUUUUUUCUUUUACAAUGGUUGUUGAUUAUAUGAUCCGGUUGUUCGAUUAUAAGACUUAAUUACCUUAGGGAUAACAGCGUAAUUUGUUUAAAGAGUUCUUAUCGAAAAACAGGAUUGCGACCUCGAUGUUGGAUUAGAAUUUAU